rnacentral:rRNA from 1 species
UACGGAGGGGGCAAGCGUUGUCCGGACUUACUGGGCGUAAAGGGUGCGUAGGCGGUCUUGUGCGUCGGUGCUGAAAGCGCCCGGCUUAACCGGGCGAGGCGUGCCGAUACGACGAGACUUGAGGGGCAGCGAGGGUGGCGGAACUCCUGGUGUAGUGGUGGAAUGCGUAGAGAUCCGGAGGAACACCAGCGGCGAAGGUGGUAUCCUGGACUGGUCCUGACACUCAGGAGCGAAAGCGUGGGGAGCGAUCCGG